GAUGAACGCUGGCGGCGUGCCUAAUACAUGCAAGUCGAGCGAACGGACGAGAAGCUUGCUUCUCUGAUGUUAGCGGCGGACGGGUGAGUAACACGUGGAUAACCUACCUAUAAGACUGGGAUAACUUCGGGAAACCGGAGCUAAUACCGGAUAAUAUUUUGAACCGCAUGGUUCAAAAGUGAAAGACGGUCUUGCUGUCACUUAUAGAUGGAUCCGCGCUGCAUUAGCUAGUUGGUAAGGUAACGGCUUACCAAGGCAACGAUGCAUAGCCGACCUGAGAGGGUGAUCGGCCACACUGGAACUGAGACACGGUCCAGACUCCUACGGGGGGCAGCAGUAGGGAAUCUUCCGCAAUGGGCGAAAGCCUGACGGAGCAACGCCGCGUGAGUGAUGAAGGUCUUCGGAUCGUAAAACUCUGUUAUUAGGGAAGAACAUAUGCGUAAGUAACUGUGCACAUCUUGACGGUACCUAAUCAGAAAGCCACGGCUAACUACGUG
rnacentral:rRNA from 1 species